rnacentral:rRNA from 1 species
GAUGAACGCUGGCGGCGUGCCUAAUACAUGCAAGUCGAGCGAACAGACGAGGAGCUUGCUCCUUUGACGUUAGCGGCGGACGGGUGAGUAACACGUGGAUAACCUACCUAUAAGACUGGGAUAACUUCGGGAAACCGGAGCUAAUACCGGAUAACAUGUUGAACCGCAUGGUUCAACAGUGAAAGACGGUCUUGCUGUCACUUAUAGAUGGAUCCGCGCCGCAUUAGCUAGUUGGCAAGGUAACGGCUUACCAAGGCAACGAUGCGUAGCCGACCUGAGAGGGUGAUCGGCCACACUGGAACUGAGACACGGUCCAGACUCCUACGGGAGGCAGCAGUAGGGAAUCUUCCGCAAUGGGCGAAAGCCUGACGGAGCAACGCCGCGUGAGUGAAGAAGGUCUUCGGAUCGUAAAACUCUGUUAUUAGGGAAGAACAAAUGUGUAAGUAACUAUGCACGUCUUGACGGUACCUAAUCAGAAAGCCACGGCUAACUACGUG